CAUUCCGAACGGCGGAUCACUUGGCUCGUAGAUCGUUGAAGAACGACGUGACACUCGAGAAUUGAUGUGAAUUGCAGACACACUGAACUUGAAUACUUUGAACGCACAUUGCAGCGUCGACGAAGUUACGAAAUAAAGCAAAUGCGCCGCUCAG
rnacentral:rRNA from 1 species